rnacentral:rRNA from 1 species
GAUGAACGCUGACAGAAUGCUUAACACAUGCAAGUCAACUUGAACUUCGGUUUGGGUGGCGGACGGGUGAGUAACGCGUAAAGAACUUGCCUCACAGCUAGGGACAACAUUUGGAAACGAAUGCUAAUACCUGAUAUUAUGAUUAUAUGGCAUCGUAUAAUUAUGAAAGCUAUAUGCGCUGUGAGAGAGCUUUGCGUCCCAUUAGCUAAUUGGAGAGGUAACAGCUCACCAAGGCGAUGAUGGGUAGCCGGCCUGAGAGGGUGAUCGGCCACAAGGGGACUGAGACACGGCCCUUACUCCUACGGGAGGCAGCAGUGGGGAAUAUUGGACAAUGGACCGAGAGUCUGAUCCAGCAAUUCUGUGUGCACGAUGAAGUUUUUCGGAAUGUAAAGUGCUUUCAGUUGGGAAGAAAAAAAUGACGGUACCAACAGAAGAAGUGACGGCUAAAUACGUG